UUUUUUUUCUUUUUUACUCAAUGUGACUUCUUUGAGACUAUUAAGUUCUUUUUUCUAACUGGCUUCUAGAAAAAAAUAUCCAAGUGAAAGUCAACCAAGACUAUGUGUCCAGGGUUCCAAUGGUGAAGGUUAGUUCAUCAGUUCUUUGUUGAAUUGUUAUAAAUUAUGUUGAGGAUAACAAAAUGAAUACUAGAAGCAAGAUUGCUUAAACAACUUAACCAAAUACAUAUUUUAUUAUAACCGAAACAUCUGUGGAUUUGAGAAGGACAAUUUCUUGCUAAAGAUAGGCUUUGUGAAAAAUAUUAAGAGUAAUGAUGACCCUUAUGUUAGUCAGUUUUUGUUUUUGAAUGGGUAGAUAUAUAUUCUGAAAAAAAUUGAUGAUUUGUGGAAUGUCAAUAGGUAAUUGCCUGUGAUGUUAUCAACAUCAACUCUCUGCAUUUGUUUCUUAUGGCUGCUGUAAAAAUUACCACAACCUAGGUGGCUAAGUACAACAGAAAUUUAUUCCUUCAGGGUUCUGGAGGCCAGAACUUAAAUCAGUGUCACUGGGAUGAAAUAAAAGUGUUGGCAAGGUCAUGAUUUGGAAAAAAAAAUAAAAAAUAAAAAUAAAUGAUCAUAUAAACAAUACAUUCCCUCCCGAAAUAAUGCUAUAAAGCCUUAUAGGCACAGACCAAUAACUUAAUGGUUUCAAUAGGAACAAAGUAAUAAUGCUUAGAGCAAAAUAUUUUCUGUAUUAUUCAAAUGACCUGUGCUCUCAAACUGGGUAAGAUUUACAUAAAACAACCUGAGACACUGAAACUGGUAACUUUACAAAUCCUAACUUUUCUCUCAGAUCAUGAAGACACAUGCUUAGAAAGGAAUAACUCAGCUACAGGGAGACAACCACUUUCUAUGGAUCCCAGCAGACAGAAGUAAGCUUAGCUGGAAAGCAAUGCUAAUGAGGAUUUCAGAAUCACAAAAACAAAAUGGUACAUUAGGGAUCUGUAAGCCUACACUUAAGAUGCUGGGAAGGAAAAGAGCCUAAACCUUCCUAAGCAGAGAGAUAACUUCCUUACUUCUCAAGAGCUCCAUGAACUGGAUUCCCAAAACCACAUGGAAACCCUUUUCUAGUAUCACUCUCUUUUUUCCUUAUAUAGAAUUUAAAUUCCUUUUAUUAUAAGUACAGGACAGUUUUUGUUUCUUAUUUAGAAAAUACAUACUACCAAAUAUAGCUUUGGCUCUUUUCAGAGGUAUUUUUCAAUCUCUCACUUUCUCCUCUGCUGAUCCCCUCCGCCGGUAAAUGAUCCCCAUUUUUCAGAGACUGUAUUUUAUUUUUGUUUUAAAUUUUUACAUAUUUAUAUGAUUUUUGAGAGGAUUUUUUUUUUUUUACUUCACUUACUACUUUCAAUUUUGAUCUGGAGGAAAAUCUACCUGAACAUCCCACCCAGAUCAUUUUUAAAAUAAUCUAAUGACUAUGUGUUUACUGCAGUUGGAAAGAGGAUUGUAGAGUAAAAUCUGUAUAUUUGGAGGUUCCCUGAAAAGGUAGAAAAUUAAAUGAAGUAUUAUCAUGUGAAUACAACAAUUAUCAUAAAACAAACAAGUGUAAAGUAGGGGAAAUACUGACAUAUUUGAUUAUUGGCAGUAUUUUGUGAAAGGAUACAGGAAUGGGGGAUGUUAUCAACUUUAAAAUGUCAAGAAACCGUAUUUAUGAAUAUAUUUGAAAAGAGUCCUUCUCAGGAUGCCAAAAAUCUCAUACAGAAUUUCUUUUUAAAAUUCUAUUAGUACGUUUUCUUGUAGCAAUCUCUUAUUUUAGAUAAUAUACAGGGUAACUGAAGAAAUUUUAGGAGAACACUUUAAUACUUAAAGAAAAAUCUUUUUCUAUUACUUUACAAUAAUCGAUAGUUUGGCACUAUUAUAAGCAUUAAAGAAGAAACAAUGCUAAAUUAAAAAAAAAAGAGAGAAAACAGGAGUUCCUGUUGCGGCACAAAGGAAACAAAUUUGACUAGGAACCAUGAGGUUGUGGGUUCAAUCCCUGGCCUCACUCAGUGAGUUAAGGAUCUGGUGUUGCUGUGAGCUGUGGUGUAGGUCGCAGAUGCAGCUUGGAUCUGGAGUUGCUAUAGUUGUGGCGUAGAUUGGCAGCUGUAGCUCUGAUUCCCUAGCCUGGGAACCUCCAUAUGCCACAGGUGCUGCCCUAAAAAGAAAAAAUAAAUAAAUGAAUGAAUAAAUAAAUAAAUAUAGAAAAAAUAAAAAGAAAUAAUAAUAAUAAACAAAAUCAUAGAAUCACAUGUUUAAUCAAAUGGUCAGAAUAUUUGUUAAAGUGAUCAAUAAUGGUUGUGCUCAAAUUUAGAACAAAGGCAAACAGCUGAAAAUUCUCCCAUUCACCUCUCUCUGUUUUUGCUUCUUUUUCCAAAAUAUCUCUUGAACAAAAUGACAACAGUAUUCAAAGCAAGGGCUUAGCAAAUAUAAUUCUGGAGGGAUAAAAACACGAGGAAUAUCAUUACUUUAUACUUUUAUUGUCAUCUUUGCAUCUUCCUAGUGCUCUCAAAUUUAUCCUCUUUAUUCUAGACUGUUAUAAAAAUUUGCCUAUCAUUUAAAAAUAUCAAAUAAAUUAAUCCACACAGCAAAAGUAUUAACUACCACUUUCUAAGAUACUUGUAUGUAGGUUUAUGCUUACACACACACACAUCUUUAAUUUUAUAUAAACCAACCUUGCAAAAUCAGAAUUUUUUAUCAAUCAGGAAACUAAGGCUCAGAGAUGUUAGAUUCUUUGUGAAAGUCAUGCAGCUGGUGUAUCUUUGAACUUGUUUACUCUGGUUCAAUCCAUUAACAGGUGAAUUAUCUCAUACCUACUUUAGCAUAUACCAAAAUAAGCAUUAUAAAUUGUUUCUUCUCUGUAAAGCUAGUUCUAAAUUACCCCUACAUCAUUGUAUUGACUAUAAUGUUCAAAAUAUUUGGACAUUAAAAAGAACAUCAAAGUAUUCUUCUUUAUUUUAUUUUUUCUAGUUCCAUUGAUAAUAAUAGCUGACCUUAUUAAGGGAUGAUGAUCCUACAAUCAUUAUUCUAUACUUUCUAGGAACCAUUUCCCUCAAUAGUCACAACUCUAAUGAGGUGUCAUAUUAGUUAGACAGUUUCAAUAGUGAGUGACAAAAAGAAUGGAAAUGACAGGCUUUUACAAUGUGGAAAAAUUCUCUUUUAAGUAAAUAUAUGGGUAAGUUACGUAGGGAUGGUAUGAUGCCAAAAACCCAAGCUCCGAAAAGCUGGCAUAUGGUACUUUUCCCAUUUUGUUGGUCAUAAAACAGUCACAUGGGUAAAUGCAACAAAAAAGGAGCUGGAAAAUACAAUGUAAUUUAUGGAAGGCCAUUUAACUCAUUAAAAUUGGGGAGGCUGUAUCAAAAAGGGAUAAAAUACAAAAGGUAUUAAAAAAAAUCAGAAGCAUUCUCUAAGUAGGCAUAAUUAUUAUUCUUCUUUUCCAAAUGAGCAUAGUAAGACAAAGAGAUAUAAAGUAAUAUGCCUAAGGUCAUACAACAACUUGCUCCCUUCAGUUUUUGCUCACUUCACUGUGAAUGCUUAUUACAAGGUCAAUUUUAUCAUAAUGUCUGAUUUAUCUUCUGACUAUCUAUGUUUUUCCUUGAAUCAAAAAUCAUUCUGUCAUCUGCAAAGAUAGAUAGAAUAUGAACACAUAAAAGGUAAAGCAUCCAAAAAGUCAAGGGAGAGGAGGGGAAAAAAAGGCGAGGCCAAGAAUAAUUUAUUAUCAAAAUUAAGCUACCCUCUAUACAACAAAAUUAUCCUCAUAAAUGAAAAGGGGCACACUACUGAUGCAUGCAAUGACAUAGAUAAAUCACAAAAGCACUAUGUUAAAUGAAAGUAGCCAGACCCAAAAGGCUUCCUCCUGUAUGCUUCCAUUUUUAUGACUAUUGAAAAGGAAAACUAAUGAUAGAAAUCAGAUCAGUGGUUUGCCAGUGCCUGAGAGGGGAGCAGGGACAAUGACUGCAUAAAAGCAAGAAAAAAACUCCAUUUUUUUUUUUUUUUUUUUGCCAUGCCCACCGCACAUGGAAGUUCCUGGCCAGGGAUCAACCUGUGCCUCAUCAGCAACCUGAGCUACAGUAGUGACAACACCGGAUCCUUAACCUGAUGAGACACCAGAGAAUUGCAAGAUGAAAAUAUUUUGAUAUUGAAGUAGUUUUUGCACAACUUUAUACAUUCAUCAAAAAUAAUAGAAAUAGAUAGCUAAAAAGUAUCCAUUUGACUAUAUAUAAAUAAUACUUCAAUAAUCAUGAAUUAUACAAAAACAUAAACUGUGUAAGCUAUCAGGUAGUCUUAGUCAGCUGAGGAUUACAAUUUGCCUCUGAGUUUCAUAAACUGAAUGUGAGAUUAAAAUAACCAGUUAUGGAGUUCCCGUCGUGGCGCAGUGGUUAACGAAUCCGACUAGGAACCAUGAGGUUGCGGGUUCGGUCCCUGCACUUGCUCAGUGGGUUAAGGAUCCGGCGUUGCCGUGAGCUGUGGUGUAGGUUGCAGACGCGGCUCGGAUCCCGCGUUGCUGUGGCUCUGGCAUAGGCCGGUGGCUACAGCUCCGAUUCAACCCCUAGCCUGGGAACCUCCAUAUGCCGCGGGAGCAGCCCAAGAAAUAGCAACAACAACAACAACAAAAGACAAAAAAUAAAAUAAAAUAAAAUAAAAUAACCAGUUAUAAGGUCAUCAGUGUCUUUGACAAUAAUAUGAAGAGAAAUAAUCUGGGCAAGGAUGAAAUAAGAUGGUGUUUUUUUCAAAAAUACAGGUUGCUUUUAUGUAUCAUAGGUUGGUAAUAAACAUUUCAUUGUACCAGUUAUGUAAAUUAUAAAUUUGAGGUACAUCAUUUAAGCAGGAUUAAUUCAUGCCUGAGUUACUCAUUAAUGCCAUGGUUAAAAUUAUAUACUUAAAUGUACUCAGAACUCUAGAGAGCACCAUUCUUUGUUUGCAUGCACAAGAAAAUACAUAUAAACUAAUCUAAUCAAGGGUUAUUUAUAGUUCUAAUUGUCAAGUAGGUCUUAUCAACAUGAUUUUUGUCAGGUACCACUUUAUAAAUUCAUUCUAGUUUCUAAAUACCUCUUUCGUUGUUGUUAAAUUGGUUUAACAUAGGCUCAUACCUUAUUUAGUCUUUCUGUGCUAUUUAUCAUAUCUUCUAGCAAAAAGUCCAAAAAAAAAAAAAAGAGAAUAAUCCACAUAUUAGAAUCACAUUAUUUUGUUUUGGAUCCUGGAAAACAUUCAUUAUAGAAAUAUUCAUUCACCCUGGCUCCCUCAUUUCCUACCUGGAACAUUGGAAAAGGCACUUAACUUCUCUGUACCUCAGUUACCUCACAAAAAAUGAAGCUAAUAAAAGCAGCUCACUAACAAAGUUCUAUGGUAAGGGUAAAAUUAGUCAGCAUAUGUAAAAUAAAGCAAGCAUUAUGUUAGGUGCUGCUACCAUCACUCUUAAUUCCUAUGUGACAUAGAUAUUCCUCAAAAGACAAAAUUAUAUCUAGUACCUCUCUAUAUAGAUACUGUGUAACCUUUUGAUGUCUUAUCACCUCCUACCAGAAAAGAGUAAAAAUGUAAAUUCCAUGGUAAUAAUGUCACAAAUUAAUACUAAGCCUGGACUAUACAUAAAUACCUUAAAAAUGAUAAAAUUCAGCCCAGCAAUCUGAAUAUAAUACACUAUGGGAAGCAUGUUUGUAUUACAGUUAAAAUGUAAGAAAACACACACACACACACACAAAACAAAAAUGAAACCUAUGAUGUGUUGCUUAACAUUUGAUGGAUUCCAUCUUGGGUGACUUAUUUUAACUUUGGAUGAAACAUGGGGUCUAAUUUCAAAUCUAGUCAUUGAAAAAAAUCUUAGUAGGACUUUAAUCAGGUUUAAGUUAUGAUAGUAGCCAUGGAAAGUGAGGAUGUAAACACAUUCUGACAGAAUAGAAACAUGAGAUUAUUCCUUUUAAGAGAAUUGCAUCUCUUUCCCUUAAAGGACAUUAAAAACUUCAACAAUUAUUUCUUUAGGAGGCAUUACUCUCCCCACAACUCCAUCACAGUUUUCCUUUAGACAAGUUCACAUUCCACUUUUUACAGGGACAUUUAUCUCUGUAAAAAAUAUGGGAUAUGUUAUGGCACUGUUGUUACACUGGACAGAUCAGCUCCUUGAAAGGGUCAAUGAUUUUCCUGUCAGACAUAAUUAUACACAGAGAGAUACAGGGAUCCGAGAAUGUAUGUCACAAGCAGAUAAUCUUUGCUUUGGGAGAAUCUUCAGGAGGCAAAGAGAUCUGAAUGCUUAUGGGGUAGAUCAAGUAGUAAGCUGAGACAAGGAGAAUCAGAGGUCUGGUGGGCCAUGGCUGGAAUGGUUCUGUGAAGAAAGCGUAGAAGAGGCAGUGGAUAGAGAAGCAAUAGACAGGAGAGAAGAACACAGAUAAGCAAAGGUAAAAAACAACACACAGAGAAUCUUUAAGACAACUCAGAGUAUCAAUAACAUAAGAUUUUACACUUCUAUGAAAUAUACGCUAUGAUUCAUAACCUCAGAAAAUUAAACACUGGAAUGUUUCAUUCCUCUUCUGCAGAUAAUUAAAUACUGUGAAAUUAUUUGUAUCCUCUAUCCAUACAUUUGCCAUUGCUCUAUUGAAUAGAAGUGGUCUUACUUUUAAUGAACAUCUUAUGUUAAAAUGAUCACUUAUCCUCAUACUAUCUUGAUACAUAGCUUAAAAAUAAAAAAAAAAGAUAUAGAAGAACUGACUUUAUGAAAACAAAAUGAAUAAAAAGAACUAAUGAGGAGUUCCCAUCGUGGCUCAGUGGUUAAUGAAUCCGACUAGGAACCAUGAGGUUGAGGGUUCGAUCCCUGGCCUUGCUCAGUGGGUUAAGGAUCUGGCAUUGCCGUGAGCUGUGGUGUAGUUCGCAGACACGGCUCAGAUCCUGCAUUCCUGUGGCUGUGGUAUAUAGGCUGGUGGCUACAGCUCCAAUUAGAUCCCUAGCUUGGGAACCUCCAUAUGCGGCCCUAGAA
rnacentral:lncRNA from 1 species